rnacentral:rRNA from 2 species
ACCGGCGGCGUGCUAAUACAUGCAAGUCGAACGAAACUUUCUUACACCGAAUGCUUGCAUUCACCGUAAGAAGUUGAGUGGCGGACGGGUGAGUAACACGUGGGUAACCUGCCUAAAAGAAGGGGAUAACACUUGGAAACAGGUGCUAAUACCGUAUAUCUCUAAGGAUCGCAUGAUCCUUAGAUGAAAGAUGGUUCUGCUAUCGCUUUUAGAUGGACCCGCGGCGUAUUAACUAGUUGGUGGGGUAACGGCCUACCAAGGUGAUGAUACGUAGCCGAACUGAGAGGUUGAUCGGCCACAUUGGGACUGAGACACGGCCCAAACUCCUACGGGAGGCAGCAGUAGGGAAUCUUCCACAAUGGACGCAAGUCUGAUGGAGCAACGCCGCGUGAGUGAAGAAGGUCUUCGGAUCGUAAAACUCUGUUGUUAGAGAAGAACACGAGUGAGAGUAACUGUUCAUUCGAUGACGGUAUCUAACCAGCAAGUCACGGCUAACUACGUGCCAGCAGCCGCGGUAAUACGUAGGUGGCAAGCGUUGUCCGGAUUUAUUGGGCGUAAAGGGAACGCAGGCGGUCUUUUAAGUCUGAUGUGAAAGCCUUCGGCUUAACCGGAGUAGUGCAUUGGAAACUGGAAGACUUGAGUGCAGAAGAGGAGAGUGGAACUCCAUGUGUAGCGGUGAAAUGCGUAGAUAUAUGGAAGAACACCAGUGGCGAAAGCGGCUCUCUGGUCUGUAACUGACGCUGAGGUUCGAAAGCGUGGGUAGCAACAGGAUAGAU